GAAUAGGGGAGAGUAUGUGAAUGACAUAAAGUAAGAAAGUGGUCUAAUCUCUUCAAUGAAGAAAAGUAUUAUCAAGGUCAGCAGAUAUAAUUAAUGAUGGACUGAAAAUCAGCAUCUAUUUAUCAAGACCCAGGAACAUUACAUUACGCAUCCAGUUUGCACCAAGUGAUGUUGAAAUAAUGCCUAAGGUAGCAUAA
rnacentral:lncRNA from 1 species